UACUCCUACGGGAGGCAGCAGUGAGGAAUAUUGGUCAAUGGGAGCAAUCCUGAACCAGCAAUGCCGCGUGUGGGAUGACGGGGCUCAGCCCUGUAAACCACUGUCGGACGGGACGAAAGGAGCCUUCAGGGCUCUGGGACGG
rnacentral:rRNA from 1 species